rnacentral:rRNA from 1 species
UGGUGGAGUGAUUUGUCUGGUUAAUUCCGUUAACGAACGAGACCUUUGUCUGCUAAAUAGUGUUGUGUAUCUUCGGAUAUACAUAUACUUCUUAGAGAGACUUUGCGUUUUUAGUCGUAAGGAAGUUAGAGGCAAUAACA